rnacentral:rRNA from 1 species
AGUUUGAUCCUGGCUCAGGAUGAACGCUGGCGGCGUGCUUAACACAUGCAAGUCGAACGAAGCACUUUUUCUUCUUCGGAAGAGAAAGUGACUGAGUGGCGGACGGGUGAGUAACGCGUGGGUAACCUACCCUAGAGAUCGGGAUAACAGCGGGAAACUGCUGCUAAUACCGGAUGUCUCUACGAGAAGGCAUCUUUUAGUAGAGAAAGCAAUAGCGCUCUAGGAUGGGCCCGCGUCCCAUUAGCUAGUUGGUGAGGUAACGGCUCACCAAGGCGACGAUGGGUAGCCGGCCUGAGAGGGUGGACGGCCACACUGGGACUGAGACACGGCCCAGACUCCUACGGGAGGCAGCAGUAGGGAAUAUUGCGCAAUGGAGGAAACUCUGACGCAGCGACGCCGCGUGAGCGAUGAAGGUUUUCGGAUCGUAAAGCUCUGUCCUUGGGGAAGAAGGUCUUCGGACUUGACGGUACCCAAGAAGAAAGCCACGGCUAACUACGUGCCAGCAGCCGCGGUAAUACGUAGNUGGCAAGCGUUGUCCGGAAUUAUUGGGCGUAANGGNNNNGUAGGCCGCCAGUUAUGUCAGAUGUGAAAGGCUAGGGCUUAACCCUAACAUGGCAUUUGAAAC